UUCUCUGCCUCGUGGGGACGGAUCUGGGACCCGAAGGCCAGCCGUGGUUCCAGACGAGCGGUGUGGCCGUGGCGGCGGCGUCCCCGGGCAGACGGGGGUUCAGGUCCGCGUCCGCUGCUCCAGGUUUCCCAGUAUUCAGUGAAACCUGCCAACCAGGAAAAGGACUGUUUAUCCUUUGAGGAUGUGGCUGUGUACUUCUCCUGGGAGGAAUGAACACUGCUUGAUGACUCAAAAGAUCCUGCACCAGACUGUGAUGUCAGAGAUCUGAACAUCAUGUCUUUGAUGGGACUUAUAUCUUCUGGGAUCCAUGACAUGACUCAGCUGGAGUUUUGGGGAGAGCCCUCUGUGCUUGCAUUGAGAUUCCUGACUCCAGACUCUGGCAGGAUGGUCAACUCAGCUAUUUCGGCUCAAACUCCUUCGAUUCAAACUGGCUUCUUUUACACUCUGACUCAAUUGCUC
rnacentral:lncRNA from 1 species